rnacentral:rRNA from 1 species
GGUYAAGCGACUAAGCGUACACGGUGGAUGCCCUGGCAGUCAGAGGCGAUGAAGGACGUGCUAAUCUGCGAAAAGCGCCGGCGAGGUGAUAUGAACCUUUGACCCGGCGAUGUCCGAAUGGGGAAACCCAGUGUGAUUCGUCACACUAUCGUUAACUGAAUACAUAGGUUAACGAGGCGAACCGGGG